rnacentral:rRNA from 1 species
GGAUGAACGCUAGCUACAGGCUUAACACAUGCAAGUCGAGGGGCAAGUUUGCUUGCAAACUGCGACCGGCGCACGGGUGAGUAACACGUAUCCAACCUGCCGAUAACUCCGGGAUAGCCUUUCGAAAGAAAGAUUAAUACCGGAUGGCAUACGAAUCGCAUGAUUUUUUAUUAAAGAAUUUCGGUUAUCGAUGGGGAUGCGUUCCAUUAGUUUGUUGGCGGGGUAACGGCCCACCAAGACUACGAUGGAUAGGGGUUCUGAGAGGAAGGUCCCCCACAUUGGAACUGAGACACGGUCCAAACUCCUACGGGAGGCAGCAGUGAGGAAUAUUGGUCAAUGGGCGAGAGCCUGAACCAGCCAAGUAGCGUGAAGGAUGAAGGCUCUUGGGUCGUAAACUUCUUUUAUAUGGGAAUAAAGUUUUCCACGUGUGGAAUUUUGUAUGUACCAUAUGAAUAAGGAUCGGCUAACUCCGUGCCAGCAGCCGCGGUAAUACGGAGGAUCCGAGCGUUAUCCGGAUUUAUUGGGUUUAAAGGGAGCGUAGGUGGAUUGUUAAGUCAGUUGUGAAAGUUUGCGGCUCAACCGUAAAAUUGCAGUUGAAACUGGGAGUCUUGAGUACAGUAGAGGUGGGCGGAAUUCGUGGUGUAGCGGUGAAAUGCUUAGAUAUCACGAAGAACUCCGAUUGCGAAGGCAGCUCACUAGACUGUCACUGACACUGAUGCUCGAAAGUGUGGGUAUCAAACAGGAUUAGAUACCCUGGUAGUCCACACAGUAAACGAUGAAUACUCGCUGUUGCAUAUAGUAAGCGGCCAAGCGAAAGCAUUAAGUAUUCCACCUGGGGAGUACGCCGGCAACGGUGAAACUCAAAGGAAUUGACGGGGGCCCGCACAAGCGGAGGAACAUGUGGUUUAAUUCGAUGAUACGCGAGGAACCUUACCCGGGCUUAAAUUGAACAGAAUAUAUUGGAAACAGUAUAGCCGUAAGGCUGUUGUGAAGGUGCUGCAUGGUUGUCGUCAGCUCGUGCCGUGAGGUGUCGGCUUAAGUGCCAUAACGAGCGCAACCCUUAUCUUUAGUUACUAACAGGUCAUGCUGAGGACUCUAGAGAGACUGCCGUCGUAAGAUGGAGGAAGGUGGGGAUGACGUCAAAUCAGCACGGCCCUUACGUCCGGGGCUACACACGUGUUACAAUGGGGGGUACAGAAGGCGGCUACCUGGUGACAGGAUGCUAAUCCCAAAAACCUCUCUCAGUUCGGAUCGAAGUCUGCAACCCGACUUCGUGAAGCUGGAUUCGCUAGUAAUCGCGCAUCAGCAUGGCGCGGUGAAUACGUUCCCGGGCCUUGCACACACCGC